CCCUUAGAUGUUCUGGGCUGCACGCGCGCUACACUGACGGAGCCAGCGAGCCUUGUCCUUCGCCGGAAGGUGCGGGUAAUCUUGCUAACCUCCGUCGUGCUGGGGAUAGAUGGUUGCAAUUAUUGAUCUUCAACGAGGAAUUCCUAGUAAGCGCAAGUCAUCAGCUUGCGUUGAUUACGUCCCUGCCCUUUGUACACACCGCCCGUCGCUACUACCGAUUGAAUGGUCCGGUGAAGCCUCCGGAUUGGCGCGCACCUCGGUGCCGCCGAGAAGUUGGCUAAACCUUACCAUUUAGAGGAAGGUGAAGUCGUAACA
rnacentral:rRNA from 1 species